AAUUAAUCAACCUAGUAAUUUAGUUUAUUAGGAUUGGACUUGGGAUUUGCUGGCUUUGAGUAGUCAGCUAUCCUUAAAUGCAUUAGUGAGUGGGAAGUCUUGGUGUGGCACGGCUUUCUUCUCGACGGUGAUAAAUAAAUCGUUGGGUGAGCUGGAAGCAUCAUUAGGAAAGCUUGCUUUAAAAUUUAGUAGACAUGUGAAGUGUCUCUCUAUUUUUUAAU
rnacentral:misc_RNA from 1 species